rnacentral:rRNA from 1 species
GACGAACGCUGGCGGCGUGCUUAACACAUGCAAGUCGAGCGGAGCGGCGAACGGGUGAGUAACGCGUGAGUAAUUGCCCCCCUCUCUGUGAUAACAGUUGGAAACGGCUGCUAAUACCGGAUAGGGGGGGAUGACUCGCGUCCUAUCUGCUUGUUGGUGGGGUAGUGGCCUACCAAGGCGACGACGGGUAGCCGGCCUGAGAGGGCGACCGGCCACAAGGGGCUGAGAUACGGCGCAAACUGCAACGGGAGGCAGCAGGGGGGAAUAUUGCACAAUGGUGGAAACACUGAUGCAGCAACGCCGCGUGCGGGAUGACGGCCUUCGGGUUGGAAACCGCUUUCAGCCAUGACGCGGUAGUGGCAGAAGAAGCGCCGGCUAACUACGUGCCAGCAGCCGCGGUAAUAC